GUCUACGGCCAUACCACCCUGAACGCGCCCGAUCUCGUCUGAUCUCGGAAGCUAAGCAGAGUCGGGCCUGGUUAGUACUUGGAUGGGAGAUAUAUGGGAUGUGGGUG
rnacentral:rRNA from 1 species